UACAGAGGGGGGCAAGCGUUGUUCGGAAUUACUGGGCGUAAAGGGCGCGUAGGCGGCCGCCUAAGUCAGACGUGAAAUCCCUCGGCUCAACCGGGGAACUGCGUCUGAUACUGGGUGGCUUGAAUUCGGGAGAGGGAUGCGGAAUUCCAGGUGUAGCGGUGAAAUGCGUAGAUAUCUGGAGGAACACCGGUGGCGAAGGCGGCAUCCUGGACCGAGAUUGACGCUGAGGAGCGAAAGCGUGGGGAGCGAACAGG
rnacentral:rRNA from 1 species